rnacentral:misc_RNA from 1 species
AAGUCGUAACGAGGUUUCCGUAGGUGAACCUGCGGAAGGAUCAUUACCAAAUCCAAAUUUCCUUAACCCCGUGUGAACUAUUACAUUAGUCUGUCUUUGGGAAGAAUUUAGAUUUUGAAUUUCUCAAAAAACUUGUUCUUCCCGAAAGAAUCCGGCAAAUUCGUUUGGAUUAUUCGGAUUUCUUUCAACAACCUUUUAAACCACUUGAUUCGUUUGUUUGGAAUUCAUUCUUUUAUAAUAUAUAAUAAAAGACAACUUUUAACGGCGGAUCUCUUGGCUCGUG